rnacentral:rRNA from 1 species
UACGUAGGGUGCAAGCGUUAUCCGGAAUUAUUGGGCGUAAAGAGCUCGUAGGCGGUUUGUCGCGUCUGCUGUGAAAAUCUGAGGCUCAACCUCGGACUUGCAGUGGGUACGGGCAGACUAGAGUGCGGUAGGGGAGAAGGGAAUUCCUGGUGUAGCGGUGGAAUGCGCAGAUAUCAGGAGGAACACCAAUGGCGAAGGCACUUCUCUGGGCCGCUACUGACGCUGAGGAGCGAAAGCGUGGGGAGCGAACAGG